rnacentral:tRNA from 1 species
GAUGACCCUCAGUGGUCUGGGGUGCAGGCUUCAAACCUGUAGCUGUCUAGCGACAGAGUGGUUCAAUUCCUUUGAAUUCUC